rnacentral:rRNA from 1 species
AGCGUACACGGUGGAUGCCCUGGCAGUCAGAGGCGAUGAAGGACGUGCUAAUCUGCGAAAAGCGUCGGUAAGGUGAUAUGAACCGUUAUAACCGGCGAUGUCCGAAUGGGGAAACCCAGUGCAAUUCGUUGCACUAUCGUUAACUGAAUACAUAGGUUAACGAGGCGAACCGGGGGAACUGAAACAUCUAAGUACCCCGAGGAAAAGAAAUCAACCGAGAUUCCCCCAGUAGCGGCGAGCGAACGGGGAGCAGCCCAGAGUCUGAAUCAGCUUGUGUGUUAGUGGAACGGUCUGGAAAGUCCGACGGUACAGGGUGAUAGUCCCGUACACCAAAAUGCACAGGYUGUGAACUCGAAGAGUAGGGCGGGACACGUGGUAUCCUGUCUGAAUAUGGGGGGACCAUCCUCCAAGGCUAAAUACUCCUGACUGACCGAUAGUGAACCAGUACCGUGAGGGAAAGGCGAAAAGAACCCCGGCGAGGGGAGUGAAAAAGAACCUGAAACCGUGUACGUACAAGCAGUGGGAGCACCUUCGGGUGUGACUGCGUACCUUUUGUAUAAUGGGUCAGCGACUUAUAUUCUGUAGCAAGGUUAACCGUAUAGGGGAGCCGCAGGGAAACCGAGUCUUAACUGGGCGUUAAGUUGCAGGGUAUAGACCCGAAACCCGGUGAUCUAGCCAUGGGCAGGUUGAAGGUUGGGUAACACUAACUGGAGGACCGAACCGACUAAUGUUGAAAAAUUAGCGGAUGACUUGUGGCUGGGGGUGAAAGGCCAAUCAAACCGGGAGAUAGCUGGUUCUCCCCGAAAGCUAUUUAGGUAGCGCCUCGUGAAYUCAUCUUCGGGGGUAGAGCACUGUUUCGGCUAGGGGGUCAUCCCGACUUACCAACCCGAUGCAAACUACGAAUACCGAAGAAUGUUAUCACGGGAGACACACGGCGGGUGCUAACGUCCGUCGUGAAGAGGGAAACAACCCAGACCGCCAGCUAAGGUCCCAAAGUCAUGGUUAAGUGGGAAACGAUGUGGGAAGGCACAGACAGCCAGGAUGUUGGCUUAGAAGCAGCCAUCAUUUAAAGAAAGCGUAAUAGCUCACUGGUCGAGUCGGCCUGCGCGGAAGAUGUAACGGGGCUAAACCAUGCACCGAAGCUGCGGCAGCGACACUAUGUGUUGUUGGGUAGGGGAGCGUUCUGUAAGCCUGCGAAGGUGWSCUGUGAGGSWUGCUGGAGGUAUCAGAAGUGCGAAUGCUGACAUAAGUAACGAUAAAGCGGGUGAAAAGCCCGCUCGCCGGAAGACCAAGGGUUCCUGUCCAACGUUAAUCGGGGCAGGGUGAGUCGACCCCUAAGGCGAGGCCGAAAGGCGUAGUCGAUGGGAAACAGGUUAAUAUUCCUGUACUUGGUGUUACUGCGAAGGGGGGACGGAGAAGGCUAUGUUAGCCGGGCGACGGUUGUCCCGGUUUAAGCAUGUAGGCUGRUUAUCCAGGCAAAUCCGGAUAAUCAAGGCUGAGGUGUGAUGACGAGGCACUACGGUGCUGAAGUAACAAAUGCCCUGCUUCCAGGAAAAGCCUCUAAGCAUCAGGUAACAUCAAAUCGUACCCCAAACCGACACAGGUGGUCAGGUAGAGAAUACCAAGGCGCUUGAGAGAACUCGGGUGAAGGAACUAGGCAAAAUGGUGCCGUAACUUCGGGAGAAGGCACGCUGGUGUGUAGGUGAAGYCCCUGCGGRUGGAGCUGAGACCAGUCGAAGAUACCAGCUGGCUGCAACUGUUUAUUAAAAACACAGCACUGUGCAAACACGAAAGUGGACGUAUACGGUGUGACGCCUGCCCGGUGCCGGAAGGUUAAUUGAUGGGGUUAUCCGUAAGGAGAAGCUCUUGAUCGAAGCCCCGGUAAACGGCGGCCGUAACUAUAACGGUCCUAAGGUAGCGAAAUUCCUUGUCGGGUAAGUUCCGACCUGCACGAAUGGCGUAAUGAUGGCCAGGCUGUCUCCACCCGAGACUCAGUGAAAUUGAACUCGCUGUGAAGAUGCAGUGUACCCGCGGCAAGACGGAAAGACCCCGUGAACCUUUACUAUAGCUUGACACUGAACAUUGAGCCUUGAUGUGUAGGAUAGGUGGGAGGCUUUGAAGCGUGGACGCCAGUCUGCGUGGAGCCAACCUUGAAAUACCACCCUUUAAUGUUUGAUGUUCUAACGUUGGCCCCUKACCGGGGUUGCGGACAGUGUCUGGUGGGUAGUUUGACUGGGGCGGUCUCCUCCCAAAGCGUAACGGAGGAGCACGAAGGUUAGCUAAUCCUGGUCGGACAUCAGGAGGUUAGUGCAAUGGCAUAAGCUAGCUUGACUGCGAGCGUGACGGCGCGAGCAGGUGCGAAAGCAGGUCAUAGUGAUCCGGUGGUUCUGAAUGGAAGGGCCAUCGCUCAACGGAUAAAAGGUACUCCGGGGAUAACAGGCUGAUACCGCCCAAGAGUUCAUAUCGACGGCGGUGUUUGGCACCUCGAUGUCGGCUCAUCACAUCCUGGGGCUGAAGUAGGUCCCAAGGGUAUGGCUGUUCGCCAUUUAAAGUGGUACGCGAGCUGGGUUUAGAACGUCGUGAGACAGUUCGGUCCCUAUCUGCCGUGGGCGCUGGAGAAUUGAGGGGGGCUGCUCCUAGUACGAGAGGACCGGAGUGGACGCAUCACUGGUGUUCGGGUUGUCAUGCCAAUGGCACUGCCCGGUAGCUAAAUGCGGAAGAGAUAAGUGCUGAAAGCAUCUAAGCACGAAACUUGCCCCGAGAUGAGUUCU